UAAGUUUAUCUGAAUGGUUGAUUAGGUUAGGCUGGGUACAACACAGAUCCUGUAAAUUGGGUAACUUUGGGAUAGGGAGACUCCUGACGAAAUAAAAAAAGGGAAAGUAAACUACAUUCAUUGCAUUCUAGACACGUCCCUGAGUUUACCCUUAAAAGUGUAUUUUUAAAUUUCUAAUAGUUUGGGAUAAUUCACACUUCGUAUCUUCCAGUUUAAAAUAUAUGAGCUUUCAUGCAGCAGCAACCAUUGUUAAAACUUUUACAGAUGCUGCAUCAACAAGCAUUGGCGGAUUUAUGGAGGGCUGUAACAUGCCUCCCCCCCAGAACCUUAAAAAUUUGCAAGGAGUUUAAUACAGUCCCACUAUAAUUACAUUCAUUUCGACCCUUGUGCCGCCCACCCUCCUGAAACAUUCUUGUGCCCCCUCUCCCCCCUCCCAGUCAAAUAUCCUGUAGCUGCCACUGUCAACAAGGCUCAUAAAGUCUUCAAUUUUCUCUUUUAUAUCUGGGGGAAGGGUGGUGAAAAGUACACAAUGGUAGACACAGUUGUUCACAGUUUUGCUGCUUUAUUGAUUUUAAUACAAAUUUUUUUAGAUAAAUUAUAAAAUAAAAACUGUGAAAAAUUACAUUCAAGAUUGACUUCAACUUGUUUUAAAGAGUUUAUUUUUCAGAUAUUCUACGGAACAACCACAAUGUUCUGUGGGUACUAUUCCAUACCCUCCAUGUUCUCCGGUAAAGCCACUUAAUAUUAGAGCCCUGCAUAAAACAAUGGCUCAGGGGCCUGCAAAAAAAAAAAGUGGCCUAGGGCCCGGCAAAGUCCAGGACCGCUACUGGAUGUUCUAACCUAAUUAACUGCCCAUACAUUUUUAUCCUGCGUACUGUAAGCUUAAUGCUGUUAGUUUUAAGACUUGAAAUUUAAAAUACUAUUGUAAAAAAAAGAUUGUAAACAUACAAUUUUUUAUGUUGGCCUAUUCACACACACACCAAAAUACUAUGUUCUUGCUAGAAAAAACUAAGCUUACGUUCCUAACAGAUAUUAUUUUUUGAAAUUCAAAUUGAGGUUUACUAAAUAAUUAAUUUCAUAAUAUUGGAUAAUUUUAUAUUAUAACAUAUUACACCUUGCAUGUAAAAAAAAACCUCAAUUGUCUUUAUUUUUGCAUUCACAGUUUGCUUACAGGUACUAUUCCAGCACAAACUUCCAGCAUCAGAUGUUAACCCUGUUCAGAGAAAAAAGUACUAAGGAGAGGAAAAUGAAGUCUCCUGUUCGAGAAAAGGAUGAGCGUUGUGCAAAUACAACUAACUUAACUUCAGACUUACAUCUAGAAUUUUGCAACCACAGUCGUCGGUAAUAACAGACAACAAGGAUACAGUGAACUUAGUCUUUGUUCCAAGGACGUAGUCCUUCAGCCUGUACUGUGAGUUCAUGUGCAACCACUGGACUUAAUUGUGAACAUAUUUUAAUAUUCAUCCUUCGGUAACUGCGAACAGUCAACUUUUUGUUUUGAAAUCAGUGAAGAAAUUAUGUUCUACUUGUUUGUAAAUUCUAUAUGUACUUGCUUCGUGGGUGGAAUAUGGUUGCCAUGUGGACUGUGAAUUUUAUUCAAGUAUUGAUAAAAAUAUGUUAAUAUCAGGUUGUGUCCGAGAGACAUUAUUUCAUUAAACAAGUCGUCAAUAGUAACAUUUAUUGGGAACUAACAUGAUUUUUCAAUGCCCAAAUUAUUUAUGCAAGUGUUUAUGAAUGUCCACUCCAAGCCGAAUAUGUUGAGCUAGUCAGGGUCUGUGGUGCGACAAGUUUUACAGAAUAUGUACCUACUGGUGAUAAUUUUUCUUUAGGUUAUGUUAUUAAAAUGGCUGGAAAAUAGUUCUUAGUCCAAAAAUUUUUUAUAUGAAGUCUUUAUAAAUACUUUUUCAUAAUUUGCUCUUAUUAUCAUUCCAUCAUUUAAUAAAGAGUGGAGGCAUAUUUUUUUCAUUAAUUUUUAACGUUGCAAGACCCUGCCCUCCUAUGUUUUGAAAAGAAAUUAUUAAAUAAGAUUAAAAUUAUGUUUUUUUCAGUAAUGCAGCAGAUCAGCUGAUUAUAGCCUUCAAGGUCAUAGCAACAUAGUUUUUCAUACUUGUAUGUUAUGCUUGGAAAUGUUCUUGUAAUUUAAUUUAAUGUUUCAAGUAUUUUAUUUUGAAAAACUUCUAAACAUAAUUUUAUUGGCUUUCACUUUGCUGGCUUGGGUAUUAUUUAUGUAAGUGUGAAUUUCAGUGUUUUAUUGCAUUUCAUAAUUUUAUUGCAUUUAAAUAUAUAUUUUUAAAUUAUAAUUUUGUGUAUGUGUUUUAUAGUGGUUUUAAUUCAGUGAAUAUUGUGGCUAGUGAGAAAAAAGACGUGCUGCGACAGAGCGGCACCAAAAGAUGAUAAUGUAUCAUCUCCUGUGUAAAAAAAGAGACAGACUUUAGCCCAGACUGUACGAAUAUGAUGGGAAUCUCCGAAUCCUAUGUGAAAUUCAAAAGAGAAGGAUGGUGUGGGACCGAUUGAGUGAAUCCCUCAAAGAAGGGAGGGGGGGGGGGGAGUUACUUCAUAAUAAUUGUAAAGACUAAAUGUAAUAGCUAAUCAUAAGGCAGUAUUUCGGGGAAGUCCCCAGCUGACUGAAAUUUUCUUAGUGUUUUGUAAUGUGCUGUGUUUUGUCAGUCGUCGUGCCAUGGCCAGGCCCAAAGGUUGUGCCAUCUCGGCGACAUGUAUUAAUUUGGUAAUCGAUAAGAAUAAAAGUUAAAAUUAA